CUGAGUGCCGGGUAUAAAAGUUGUGACGCGAAAGAAGCGUCUCACACGUCCCUUCUCGUUCUUCUUUUUUUCUAUUGCUGGAAGAGAUAAAGCUUCCAUUGCGAAGCCUCUUUUCCAUCUUUAAGGAUUCCUUAUAGUAUGCCUUGAACAAGGACUCACCAGACUGACUAACUUGUCUCUCACUCACUCUAAAAACUGUACAGUUCAAGACAGAAAUACAAUAUACAAAGAACAGAGAACAAACUCCAAGAAUGAAACGAGAGCCACUGAAAGACAUUACCAACGUGCAAACGGAUAAGAAAAUGACCCAACAGAACACCAAAAAUGGGCAACCAGCCCGCAGAUGCUUCGAGAUCUUUAGAGGAUCUAACUGAUGGGCGGACCAGAGAGUGAGUGUCAGAGAGGAGUCCGAAUAGUAUUAUCAUGUUCAUGGUUAUUUUGAAAAUCUGCAGAACUCACACAGAAUAGAGAAACACACAAAAGACACAAUCUUAAACCACAAGAAAUAAAC
rnacentral:lncRNA from 1 species